UAAAGUAAAUAUUUGGUUCUGGUAUAAUGUUAGCUACAGAGUUUUUUACAUUACACAAUGUAGGAUAAUUUCGUGAUGUGUAAAAGUCUGAUUUACGUGAUAAGCCAAGUUUAAUGCAUCCUAAAAGGAAUAGCUGGCAGCAGGAGCAUAAGUUUUUAAUGAUGACGCGAAGGAAAUCACAACUCAAGUGGGUAGAUCUGGAAAUCAAUGAGUUCUAGCUUGAAACGAAUAAAAAACUAACUAAAUCGAAGCGAAAGAGGGUGCCAGCAGCUGCGGUCACUCCCUCUCUCGAGGAGCUAAUAAGGGUGCAGCUUAGAGGCAGUUAGUCAAAAGUGUGUGACGCAAGACAUACAGCAAGGACUAUGGGUGAAAUCUCAGUCUUGCGGGAGGUCCAAAGCUUGCGUAAAGAUGAAUCUGCGAAGUUAUGGGCAUAGACCCGGAUUUGGUACCCGGUUAUUCCAUAAUGUCAAGUAUAGCUAUUUUAUUUGAAUUAAUAGUUUGCUAGGGGUACUACGAGCAACUGCUUAAAACUCGAAGAACUUGGCGGUUCCGCAUAACCAUCCAGAGGCUCUUGGCGCUUAAUCUGAUGAUCCGCGUGAUAUCUUACCUGCCCUAUAGAAAGCAGUGUACUGCCGUCGAAAGCUUAUGAUGUGAGUAAAUAAAAAUAGGCCCAAUCUUGGGGUUUUAAGCAAUUAAUAAUCAUGCCGAGGCUAGGUCAGGUCGAAGUGCUCCUUAUGGGCAAGGGGUUAGCUGAGAGACAAAUAUUUAGACAUAUAAAGAUUUUAGGGAUGAAAUUCUCUUAGUGUAUAUAAGGAUUUGGGAGUAAAAAGAGAGUAACUCGUUUUUUUGAAAAGACGCAACUGCGGUGCGUUCAAAUCGCCCGUCACCCUAGCCGAAAGGAGAGGUAAGUCGUAACAUGGUAAGGGUAGGGGAACUUGCUCUUUUAAU
rnacentral:rRNA from 1 species